AUGUGGGUCUUCUACCUGAUAGCGCUGCCUCUGACGGUGGGGAUGGUGGCGGCCACGCUGCGCUACUUCGCCGGCCCCGCCGUGCCGCUCCACGUCCUCGCCACCGUCGGCUACGCCUGGCUCUGCUCCCUCUCCUUCGUCAUCCUCGUACCCACCGACAUCUACACGACAAUUACCGGCAACCAAAAGGGUGACGUCGGAUUCUUUUGGAGCUGGUCUUAUUGGAGCUCGUUUGUCCUAGCAUGGGCUAUCAUUCCUACCAUUAAAGGCUAUGAGGAUGCUGGAGAUUUCACAGUUAAAGAAAGGCUGAAAACCAGUAUCCGAGCGAACUUGCUCUAUUAUGAAAUUGUGGGAUCUAUCGGCUUUUUUGGAAUAGUUCUGAUUAUAAUCAUGCAUCAUGAUUGGGGUGGUGCUAUCUUGGGCUUUGCUAUGGCAUGCUCAAAUACCUUUGGACUAGUGACAGGUGCCUUUCUUCUUGGUUUUGGCUUGAGCGAAAUUCCAAAGGAUAUAUGGAGAAAUGCUGAUUGGACUCGCCGUCAAAAAAUUCUCUCUCACAUGGUUGCAAAGAUGACUGUAAAACUUGAUAAUGCUCGCCAAGAAUAUUGCAACACAAUCACUGUUGUUCAAGCCACAUCGAAGCAAAUGUCCAAGCGUGACCCACUAAGGCCUUUUAUGGAUAUUAUUGAUAAUAUGCUGGCUCAAAUGCUGAGAGAUGACCCACUGUUCAAGCUUUCUGGUGGAAACAAACUAGCAGAAAAUGAUAUGGAUUAUGAUACUGACGAGAAAACUAUGGCUGCACUUCGACGUCGACUUAGGAUAGCUCAUGAGGAGUACUGUAGGUGUAAAAGCAAAUAUACGACUUCUGUCAUGGAAGCCCUUGAACUGGAAGACACAGUGACAAAUUAUGAGCAACAUGAUGCAGACGGAUGGAAAUAUGUAUCAGAUUUAAGGGAAAGUCGAUCAGGCACACUAGGAUCCUUCCUUGACCAUAUAGAGUUCAUUUGGCGAUGUAUACUGUUAAACCGACUCCUGAAAGUUCUUUCUGUUCUCCUUGGUUGCAUCUCAGCUGCCAUAUUGUUGGCUGAGGCCACUUUGCUGCCAACUGGUGUCCAUUUGUCACUUUUUUCUGUUCUUAUAAAUGCUGCAGGAAAGCAAGAAAUUUUAGUCCAGGUUGUUGCAUUUGCUCCAUUGAUGUACAUGUGCAUUUGCACAUAUUAUCCGCUCUUUAGGAUAGGGAUGAUGGUGGUCUAUUCACUGACUCCAGGACAAACUAGCUCUGUCAGCCUGCUUAUGAUCUGCUCAAUGGUUGCAAGAUACGCACCUGCUAUUUCUUACAACUUUCUGAAUCUCGUUCAUCUUGGUGGUGAUGUUAGAACUACUUUUGAGAAGAGGAUGGGGAGCAUUGAUGAUGCAGUUCCUUUUUUUGGGAGAAACUUCAACAGAAUAUAUCCACUCAUUAUGGUUGUUUACACUAUACUGGUCGCGGGCAAUUUCUUUGGAUAUCUGUUUGAAAUAUUUGGAAGCUGGAAAAGGUUCAAAUUCUGGACCGAGGAAGAAGAGGAUACAAACGGAUUUGAUCCAUCUGGAGUGAUGAUUCUGCAGAAAGAAAGAUCUUGGAUUGAACAAGCACGCAAACUCGGCGAGAAGGUCACUCCAUUGGCAAGAAACUUCAGUUCCGUCAGCGAAGACGUCGAGUCUGGAACCGUGCUACAGGGUGCAGAAAAGGUGGUGGUUAUGAAAGCAGCUCCACAUUCUCCCAAAAGGGAAGGAGGAGCCCAGCACAAGUACUCCUCCAUUACAGAGCAGCACAGCAGCCAACAGUCAGUUAAGCAAGUGAAAGAGGAAACCCGUCCCACCUCUGCUUUGCUCGAAGCAGGGGACUCUGAAAACCCAUCUCCUGCUAGCGUGGUACCGGAUCCAUCGGCCGGAACCGCGUCGAGAUGGGCCUCGAUGAAGGCGGGGUUUCGGAGCUUCAAAUCGAGCAUGAGCUCCAAGAGGCUGCUUCCUUCGAGCCUGUCGCGCACGAGCUCGUCGACUUCGGACUCGCUGGACGAGAUCUUCCGGGGGUUGAAACGUCACUCGAGCAACCCACGGGCGGAUGUGGAGUACCUUGACGACGAUGACAGCGCCCUCGAAAUGGAUCGAGCGAUUCGAUGA
rnacentral:rRNA from 1 species